rnacentral:rRNA from 1 species
UACGUAGGGUGCAAGCGUUGUCCGGAAUUAUUGGGCGUAAAGAGCUCGUAGGCGGUCUGUCGCGUCUGCUGUGAAAACCCGGGGCUCAACCCCGGGCUUGCAGUGGAUACGGGCAGACUAGAGUUCGGUAGGGGAGACUGGAAUUCCGGGUGUAGCGGUGGAAUGCGCAGAUAUCAGGAGGAACACCGAUGGCGAAGGCAGGUCUCUGGGCACUUACUGACGCUGAGGAGCGAAAGCGUGGGGAGCGAACAGG